rnacentral:ncRNA from 1 species
CUACCCCUGCCCAAUGGGGUAUUCUUACCAAAGCGUGCGGGGCCGGUAACAGCCCGGUGCGAAGCCUUUGGGACAAUGUAGCUUUCUAGUAGCAAUUAGUGGCCAACGGAAGAACUAAGAAGAGACGGCUCAUGGCUAACUUGGUGUGAACUGGUGG